CCUACGGGGGGCAGCAGUGGGGAAUAUUGCACAAUGGGGGAAACCCUGCUGCAGCGACGCCGCGUGAGUGAAGAAGUAUUUCGGUAUGUAAAGCUCUAUCAGCAGGGAAGAAGAAAGACGGUACCUGACUCAGAAGCCCCGGCUAAAUACGUGCCAGCAGCCGCGGUAAUACGUAGGGGGCAAGCGUUAUCCGGAUUUACUGGGUGUAAAGGGAGCGUAGACGGCUGUGCAAGUCUGAAGUGAAAGCCCAGGGCUCAACCCUGGGACUGCUUUGGAAACUGUGGAGCUAGAGUGCUGGAGAGGUAAGUGGAAUUCCUAGUGUAGCGGUGAAAUGCGUAGAUAUUAGGAGGAACACCAGUGGCGAAGGCGGCUUACUGGACAGUAACUGACGUUGAGGCUCGAAAGCGUGGGGAGCAAACAGGAUUAGAUACCCGAGUAGUC
rnacentral:rRNA from 1 species